rnacentral:rRNA from 1 species
UACGUAGGGUGCGAGCGUUGUCCGGAUUUAUUGGGCGUAAAGAGCUCGUAGGCGGUCUGUCGCGUCGGAUGUGAAAACCCAGGGCUCAACCCUGGGCCUGCAUUCGAUACGGGCAGACUAGAGUACGGCAGGGGAGACUGGAAUUCCUGGUGUAGCGGUGAAAUGCGCAGAUAUCAGGAGGAACACCGGUGGCGAAGGCGGCCCACUGGGCAGUCACUGACGCUGAGGCGCGAAAGCUCGGGGAGCGAACGGG